GAUGAACGCUGGCGGCGUGCCUAAUACAUGCAAGUCGAGCGAACGGACGAGAAGCUUGCUUCUCUGAUGUUAGCGGCGGACGGGUGAGUAACACGUGGAUAACCUACCUAUAAGACUGGGAUAACUUCGGGAAACCGGAGCUAAUACCGGAUAAUAUUUUGAACCGCAUGGUUCAAAAGUGAAAGACGGUCUUGCUGUCACUUAUAGAUGGAUCCGCGCUGCAUUAGCUAGUUGGUAAGGUAACGGCUUACCAAGGCAACGAUGCAUAGCCGACCUGAGAGGGUGAUCGGCCACACUGGAACUGAGACACGGUCCAGACUCCUACGGGAGGCAGCAGUAGGGAAUCUUCCGCAAUGGGCGAAAGCCUGACGGAGCAACGCCGCGUGAGUGAUGAAGGUCUUCGGAUCGUAAAACUCUGUUAUCAGGGAAGAACAUAUGUGUAAGUAACUGUGCACAUCUUGACGGUACCUAAUCAGAAAGCCACGGCUAACUACGUGCCAGCAGCCGCGGUAAUACGUAGGUGGCAAGCGUUAUCCGGAAUUAUUGGGCGUAAAGCGCGCGUAGGCGGUUUUUUAGUCUGAUGUGAAAGCCCACGGCUCAACCGUGGAGGGUCAUUGGAAACUGGAAAACUUGAGUGCAGAAGAGGAAAGUGGAAUUCCAUGUGUAGCGGUGAAAUGCGCAGAGAUAUGGAGGAACACCAGUGGCGAAGGCGACUUUCUGGUCUGUAACUGACGCUGAUGUGCGAAAGCGUGGGGAUCAAACAGGAUUAGAUACCCUGGUAGUCCACGCCGUAAACGAUGAGUGCUAAGUGUUAGGGGGUUUCCGCCCCUUAGUGCUGCAGCUAACGCAUUAAGCACUCCGCCUGGGGAGUACGACCGCAAGGUUGAAACUCAAAGGAGUUGACGGGGACCCGCACAAGCGGUGGAGCAUGUGGUUUAAUUCGAAGCAACGCGAAGAACCUUACCAAAUCUUGACAUCCUUUGACAACUCUAGAGAUAGAGCUUUCCCCUUCGGGGGACAAAGUGACAGGUGGUGCAUGGUUGUCGUCAGCUCGUGUCGUGAGAUGUUGGGUUAAGUCCCGCAACGAGCGCAACCCUUAAGCUUAGUUGCCAUCAUUAAGUUGGGCACUCUAAGUUGACUGCCGGUGACAAACCGGAGGAAGGUGGGGAUGACGUCAAAUCAUCAUGCCCCUUAUGAUUUGGGCUACACACGUGCUACAAUGGACAAUACAAAGGGCAGCGAAACCGCGAGGUCAAGCAAAUCCCAUAAAGUUGUUCUCAGUUCGGAUUGUAGUCUGCAACUCGACUGCAUGAAGCUGGAAUCGCUAGUAAUCGUAGAUCAGCAUGCUGCGGUGAAUACGUUCCCGGGUCU
rnacentral:rRNA from 1 species